rnacentral:rRNA from 1 species
AUACAGAGGUUGCGAGCGUUAAUCGGAAUUACUGGGCGUAAAGCGCGCGUAGGCGGUUACUUAAGUCAGAUGUGAAAUCCCCGGGCUCAACCUGGGAACUGCAUCUGAUACUGGGUAGCUAGAGUUUAGGAGAGGGAAGUAGAAUUUCAGGUGUAGCGGUGAAAUGCAUAGAGAUCUGAAGGAAUACCAGUGGCGAAGGCGGCUUCCUGGCCUAAAACUGACGCUGAGGUGCGAAAGCGUGGGUAGCAAACGGGAUUAGAAACCCCGGUAGUCC